UUGAGCUAAGGACUGGCUGUAGCCUAGACAGUCUUCCAGCCUGGACGGAGGCCUCCUGAGCAACUCAGAGUGAAUGUGUUUUCAGAGUUAAGUACCAGUUAUUCCUAGGUCAUCGGGAGGUCUCUACUUUGAAAGUGGGGAAACUGAGUCUCAAGCUCGGGGACAUCAAUAGUCAGGAAGCUCAGAUCCACAGAGAGAAGCUGGCUUCUGCCCGAGUUCCAUACUCCUCUAGGCUUCUCCAUCGGCCACAUGGUAAGUUGGAUCGAGGGUAGACAAGCUGGAGCUGUGCAUGUCCCCAGCUGUGCCUAAGGGACCCUACUUCCCCUGAGAACAAAGCUAUCACCAAGCCUGUCUCUGCUGCAGUUCAUGUCCCAGCUGUGGCUCAGGGUCCCCCAAUUCCCCUGCUACAGUGCAUGUCCCAGCUGUGCCUCAGGGACCCCAUGUUCCCUGCUGCAGUGCAUGUCCCUAGAUGUGCCUCAGGGUCCCCAUGUCCCCUGCUGCAGUGUGUGUCCCCAGCUGUGUCUCAGGGUUCCCCCAAUUCUCCUGCUGUAGUACAUGUUCCCAGCUGUGUCUCAUGGACCCCAGUUCCUCUGAGAACAGCAUUAUCACCAAGCCUGUCUCAGAUGGGGUUGAGGUUUCCUCUGCACACAAUAAAGGCCCUGGGACAAAUGCUUUCCAGCGCCGAUGGCUGGUGCAGUAGUGAGGAAGCUUAAAGGGCAGGGCUCUAGAGAGCUUAGAAUAGUUUGUUUUUUUUUUUCAUUGCUGUGAAGAAAUAUCCUACAAGAGCCAUCAGAAGGAGAAGGGUUUUAUUCUGUCCCCGAUUGAGGACAUCAUGCCCAUCAGGAAAGACAAGGCAUGAGAAAGCAGACCACACAUGGCAUCCACAGUCACAAAUGCUGGCACGUUCAGAAUCUCUGGGGUUGAGACUUCUCCAAAAACUUCUGCAGGAUCCUGGUGGGAAGCUCUCUCCUCUCUCUGCGUCAGCUUCCUGGGGGACCCACCGUUCCUUCCAGCCCAGAGCGGCAUCACUGUCUACACAUCACAAGCCUGGGUUGGUGUCGAGUGUCUCUGACUUUGGAGUCUCGAGCCCCGGACUUAGUUUUAUGGGCUUUGGCUGUCGAGGGCAGCCGACGACUCCAUCCAUCAACCGGGGACUGCUCUAACACUAAUGGUGAAUUUAUAGAAGUGGUUAAACAAAGUGUUGACAAUGCGGACGGUGUGUUUCUGAUUAACACACGAUUCCGAGGGAAGCUGCCAUCCGAGGGGGGAGUCAGUAAAACACAGCAGUGAAUUCCCAGGCCCCGGAGACUCCGACUAGACUGGAUCACCAGAGGUUGCGCAAGGAGAUCAUGAGUCUGAGGCUGCUGUGGGGACUCUUGUACAAACCCAGAGCCACCCCUCCCUUCCCCCCCUUUUUUUUUCUUGAGAGAUUACAUCUGAGUUCUCUCUUCCAGCCUUAAGCGUUUCCAUUAGAAAAUUCUGUCAGCUCCCAUGGUGUUCUCUCCAAACCCUGUCCUCAGACCAACCCCUCUCCCAAGGUGACCUGAAACACGGUGGAGCACUUAGCUGCUUUCUGGGUGCUGAUGGCUUUCUUAAAUCAUCUCUAGUCAUUAAGAGAACGGGUGGGGCCGUUUGCAUUUUAAAAAGACUUCUCUUCUAAAUAGCGUGGCUCUCACUGGAAGUUGCAGUAUGAUCCAGAGUGCUCUCUUGUUUCCGUGUUCCCUCCUACCCCAGUUCCCUCUUACCCCAGUGCCCCUUACCCCAGUGCCCCACAUGAUCACAUUCAAUUUCAUGGCCAUAGCAAAUUGUCAGAGCAUAGUAAAUUGCCUUUCUGACAUUCUGGGCCCCUUCAGCAGGAUUUUACUUUAUUUUCUUAAACAGCCUAUAACUUUUAUCACACAUUAAGAUUAGCAACUGCCACUAUCUGUGACGGGAGAGUCUCCCAUGAUUACACCAGAAGUCCCUGGGUUCAUCUCCCCCAUUCCUGGUGAUAAUUGCUAUGUCACGAGGUCGAACAAUGUGUAAGCUUCAAGACUGGCCUCCUAGUACUAGCUUUUCAGACAAAGCCUUGGCAUGGAACCCAGGUUGGCCUCAAAUUCCUGAUUUCCUGCUUCAGCCUCCAGAACAUUGAGGUCACAGGUGUGUGCCACCACACCAGGCUCCAUCUGCCUUCGUUUCUUCCACAUCAUCCCUUUUGGUCAGUGAAUAGUAUUCCAGUGUAUGGAUAUAACACAGUCUGUCCAUUCACUGGUUGAAGAACACCAGCUGUAGACUACACUGGCUGCUGAGAUUCAUACGCAUGAGGUGCUAAUGCAUAUUCAUGGACAGGAUUAUGUGAGCAUCUACAGUUAACAGACAAGGUUAUCAGAGACAAAAGAGAUGAUGGACAGGCCAUCAAGUAAUGUGGACACAGCUGAACUGAGAACUGAACACGGAUACAAACUCUAGAGUCCAUGUCUGCCCAAUUAUGUCUAUGAUGGAAAAUCUUGUAGCUAAAAAAAAAAAAAAAAAACAUUAAAACCUCUUGAGCCUGAG
rnacentral:lncRNA from 1 species